rnacentral:lncRNA from 1 species
CUCUCUCCUCGCGUGCACUGACAGACCAGGCCCAUGCACCUCGGACGACGCGAAGCCAGGAGGGCCACGCCGUGAUCGACCACGCUCACCGACCAGCCGACCGGCGCUGUGCUGCUCCCCACGUUGCCCAGCUCAACCCACGCCAUUCUGCUCCCCACGCUGCCCAUGCAGCCCCUGCUCGCCUAUAAAAGAAAGGUGGAGAUUGUAAGCACGGGAGGGAGGAGAGAGAAAAAAACCGAAGACCAAGAGAGAGAGAGACUGAAGGAGAGAGAAACAGGGGACCUAAGGCAAUAAACACCUAAAACUCAAGGAAACGAAACUGAGAGAAGGGGGCAGAAGACUGAAGCCGUUGGGAAAGCUUAGUGGAAAGGAAAAACCAAGCACAACCCGAGAGGCACCGGACUGUUGGGAACCGUCGCUUUGAACCACCAACCUCCGCUGCAGCACCACCAACACGGACGCUCGACCAACAGCAUCGCCUCCGCCAGGUAUUCUUCUCCCCCUGCA